rnacentral:rRNA from 1 species
UACGUAGGGUGCGAGCGUUGUCCGGAUUUAUUGGGCGUAAAGAGCUCGUAGGCGGUUUGUCGCGUCGGCCGUGAAAUCUCCACGCUCAACGUGGAGGGGCCACCCGAUACUGCCAUGACUGGAGUCCGGUAGAGGAGUGUGGAAUUCCCGGUGUAGCGGUGAAAUGCGCAGAUAUCGGGAGGAACACCCGUAGCGAAGGCGGCACUCUGGGCCGGUACUGACGCUGAGGAGCGAAAGCGUGGGGAGCAAACAGG